UACGUAGGUGGCAAGCGUUGUCCGGAAUUAUUGGGCGUAAAGCGCGCGCAGGCGGUCCUUUAAGUCUGAUGUGAAAGCCCACGGCUCAACCGUGGAGGGUCAUUGGAAACUGCGGGACUUGAGUGCAGAAGAGGAGAGUGGAAUUCCACGUGUAGCGGUGAAAUGCGUAGAGAUGUGGAGGAACACCAGUGGCGAAGGCGACUCUCUGGUCUGUAACUGACGCUGAGGCGCGAAAGCGUGGGGAGCAAACAGG
rnacentral:rRNA from 1 species